UAAACCCCCAGCACAUUUACACCAACACACACACACCCACCGGUCUGCUCUUGUUUAUUACCAGUAAUAACAUGGUGUAUUAGUGUAGAUGUGUCAGGGUGUGUUAGUGUACAUGUGUCAGGGUGUAUUCGCGUAGAUGUGUCAGGGUGUAUCAGUGUAGAUGUACCAGGCCGUGUUAGUGUAGAUGUGCCAGGGUGUAUUAGUGUAGAUGUGACAGGGUGUAUCAGUGUAGAUGUGUCGGGGUGUAUCAGUGUAGAUGUGUCGGGGUGUAUCAGUGUAGAUGUGUCUGGGUGUAUCAGUGUAGAUGUGUCGGGGUGUAUCAGUGUAGAUGUGCCGGGGUGUAUCAGUGUAGAUGUGUCGGGGUGUAUCAGUGUAGAUGUGUCGGGGUGUAUCAGUGUAGAUGUGUCGGGGUGUAUCAGUGUAGAUGUGCCGGGGUGUAUCAGUGUAGAUGUGCCGGGGUGUAUCAGUGUAGAUGUGCCGGGGUGUAUCAGUCUAGAUGUGCCGGGGUGUAUCAGUGUAGAUGUGCCGGGGUGUAUCAGUGUAGGUGUGCCGGGGUGUAUCAGUGUAGAUGUGCCGGGGUGUAUCAGUGUAGGUGUGCUGGGGUGUAUCAGUGUAGAUGUGUCUGGGUGUAUCAGUGUAGAUGUGUCAUGGUGUAUCAGUGUAGAUGUGUCAUGGUGUAUCAGUGUAGGUGUGCCGGGGUGUAUCAGUGUAGGUGUGCCGGGGUGUAUCAGUGUAGGUGUGCCGGGGUGUAUCAGUGUAGGUGUGCCGGGGUGUAUCAGUGUAGGUGUGCCAGAGUGUAGAUGUGGCAGGGUGUAUUAGUGUAGAUGUGUCAUGGUGUAUCAGUGUAGAUGUGUCAGGGUGUAUCAGUGUAGAUGUGCCAGGGUGUAUCAGUGUAGAUGUGUCAGGGUGUAUCAGUGUAGAUGUGUCAGGGUGUAUCAGUGUAGAUGUGUCAGGGUGUAUCAGUGUAGAUGUGCCAGGGUGUAUCAGUGUAGAUGUGCCAGGGUGUAGAUGUGGCAAGGUGUAUUAGUGUAGAUGUGUCAGGGUGUAUCAGUGUAGAUGUGUCACGGUGUAUCAGUGUAGAUGUGUCAGGGUGUAUUAGUGUAGAUGUGUCAGGGUGUAUCAGUGUAGAUGUGUCAGGGUGUAUCAGUGUAGAUGUGUCAGGGUGUAUCAGUGUAGAUGUGUCAGGGUGUAUCAGUGUAGAUGUGGCAGGUUGUAUUAGUGUAGAUGUGUCAGGGUGUAUCAGU